UCAAGCUGUGUGCGUUGAGAGGCGCAUGCACAGUUUCAAGGGGAGGAAGUCACAGCAAUGUGGCUUCCUUACCCGCC
rnacentral:ncRNA from 1 species